GAUGAAGAACGUAGCGAAAUGCGAUAAGUAAUGUGAAUUGCAGAAUUCAGUGAAUCAUCGAAUCUUUGAACGCACAUUGCGCCCGCCAGUAUUCUGGCGGGCAUGCCUGUUCGAGCGUCAUUUCAACCCUCAAGCCCUCGGGUUUGGUGUUGGGGAUCGGCGAGCCUUUCUGGCAAGCCGGCCCCGAAAUCUAGUGGCGGUCUCGCUGCAGCCUCCAUUGCGUAGUAGUAAAACCCUCGCAACUGGAACGCGGCGCGGCCAAGCCGUUAAACCCCCAACUUCUGAAUGUUGACCUCGGAUCAGGUAGGAAGACCCGCUGAACUUAAGCAUAUCAAUAAGCGGAGGA
rnacentral:misc_RNA from 1 species